rnacentral:snRNA from 1 species
GUCCUCGCUUCAUAGCACAUAUUCUAAAAUUAGAGCAAUACAGAGAAGAUUAGCAUGGCCCCUACACAAGGAAAAUAUGAAAAUUCAUGAAGCAUUCAAUAUUUUU